UACGUAGGUGGCGAGCGUUGUCCGGAUUUACUGGGCGUAAAGAGCGCGCAGGCGGUCGUUCAAGUCGAGUGUGAAAGCCCCCGGCUCAACUGGGGAGGGUCACUCGAUACUGAUCGACUCGAAGGCAGAAGAGGGAAGCGGAAUUCCCGGUGUAGUGGUGAAAUGCGUAGAUAUCGGGAGGAACACCAGUGGCGAAGGCGGCUUUCUGGUCUGCUCUUGACGCUGAGGCGCGAAAGCUAGGGUAGCAAACGGG
rnacentral:rRNA from 1 species